GCUCUAAAUGUGCCUGAGAUUUCAGGUGUGCAUUUGAUUAGGAAGGCCUGAGCCUCUGCCCCCCGAGUGUCCUGCCUCCUCUUCGGAAAUUCUUCCUCUGGGGAUCUUGCCUCAUUACCUGAGAACUCCACUCUCUCUUUGGCCCAGAGGCCCUUUUCCUUGCUGGAGCUCCACGCCAUCCUGGCAGGGCCAACGUCUGCAACCAGAGGAGGUAGGACCACAGCUUCCAAGCUGACCACAUCAAAAGCAUUGCAGGGUUUUGCUGACAAAUGGACACCAGAAUUGUCCAACUCGAUUGGAGGCAUCGUGAUCUGCAGAUCUCAGGAAAUGUGCUAAGCCCCCAAGUCACGUCAUUCCAGUUGGUUCUGGAUCCCAGCGAGCUUCAUCAGCGCUGAGUGUGGGAGACACUGUGAAACCUUGUUAAGAUCAAGCAGACGGCACACCUUACUUCCUUAUGCAGACACUGGGAAAGACACACAGAGAUGGGCGUGUGGGAAAGGCCAAAACUUUCUGCCCUUAAUGGGAAGGGGCGUCUGAAGAGCCACCCUGCUGCACCUCACUUCUUUCUACAAACAGGCGCUCUCGUUGCGUGGCCUGACUAGG
rnacentral:lncRNA from 1 species